UACGUAGGGGCCAAGCGUUGUCCGGAUUUAUUGGGCGUAAAGAGCUCGUAGGCGGUUCGGCAAGUCGAAUGUGAAAUCUCCACGCUCAACGUGGAGGGGUCAUUCGAUACUGCCGUGACUUGAGUACGGUAGGGGAGUGUGGAAUUCCCGGUGUAGCGGUGAAAUGCGCAGAGAUCGGGAGGAACACCCGUAGCGAAGGCGGCACUCUGGGCCGAUACUGACGCUGAGGAGCGAAAGCGUGGGGAGCAAACAGG
rnacentral:rRNA from 1 species